rnacentral:rRNA from 1 species
GACGAACGCUGGCGGCGUGCUUAACACAUGCAAGUCGAACGGAAAGGCCCUGCUUUUGUGGGGUGCUCGAGUGGCGAACGGGUGAGUAACACGUGAGUAACCUGCCCUUGACUUUGGGAUAACUUCAGGAAACUGGGGCUAAUACCGGAGAGGAGAUCCUGCUGCAUGGUGGGGGUUGGAAAGAUUCGGCGGUUGGGGAUGGACUCGCGGCUUAUCAGCUUGUUGGUGGGGUAGGGGAUUACCAAGGCUUUGACGGGUAGCCUGCCUGAGAGCGUGACCGGCCACCUUGGGACUGAGAUAGGGCCCAGACUCCUACGGGAGGCAGCAGUGGGGAAUCUUGCACAAUGGGCGGAAGCCUGAUGUAGCAACCCCGCGUGCGGGAUGACGGCCUUCGGGUUGUAAACAGCUUUCGCCUGUGACGAAGCGUGAGUGACGGUAAUGGGUAAAGAAGCACCGGCUAACUACGUG